AUGAGAGGCUCUUCCCUAGUGGCUCGGUGCAUAUUUUCUGUUCAUCCAACAGCUUCCAUUGGCUCUCAAAGGUAUCAACUUGACACCACUCCAGUAGCAUUUGUCCCUUCACCAUCUGAUCCUUCAGAGGUACAGGCUCAAGAUUUAAGUAUAAACCAAAUCCCGGUGUAUGACAUCAAUGAGAAUGUCAGGUGUGAAAGACUCCCAGUGGUCGCUGGAGCUUAUGCACAACAAUUCAGGAAAGAUUUCACACUUUUCCUGCAGCUGAGAGCCAAAGAAUUGGUCCCAGAAGGUUGGAUGGUUGUUUCCCUCCCAGGGAGGCGUUCUGAUGAGCCUCUUUGUACAUACCGGUGCAUGGACCUUCUGAUGAAGAGCUGA
rnacentral:rRNA from 1 species